rnacentral:rRNA from 1 species
GAUGAACGCUAGCUACAGGCUUAACACAUGCAAGUCGAGGGGCAGCAUCAUCAAAGCUUGCUUUGAUGGAUGGCGAGCGGCGCACGGGUGAGUAACACGUAUCCAACCUGCCGACAACACUGGGAUAGCCUUUCGAAAGAAAGAUUAAUACCGGAUGGUAUAGUUUUCCCGCAUGGGAUGAUUAUUAAAGAAUUUCGGUUGUCGAUGGGGAUGCGUUCCAUUAGGCAGUUGGCGGGGUAACGGCCCACCAAACCUACGAUGGAUAGGGGUUCUGAGAGGAAGGUCCCCCACAUUGGAACUGAGACACGGUCCAAACUCCUACGGGAGGCAGCAGUGAGGAAUAUUGGUCAAUGGACGAGAGUCUGAACCAGCCAAGUAGCGUGAAGGAUGACUGCCCUAUGGGUUGUAAACUUCUCUUAUACGGGAAUAAAGUGAGCCACGUGUGGUUUUUUGUAUGUACCGUAUGAAUA